AUCCAAUCCAACCUGAUUCACACAGUUUUCAUAUCCCAAAGUAUAACAUUAGAGCACAUUAACAUUAGAGCACAUUAGGCUAGAUCUUCAAACACUAUGACAGGAUUCAAUAAUCCUAUGCCAUGAUAUGAAGAUGAUUUUAGAUCACAUAAACCAAGACUACAAAACUAUGAAUCACCAAUUUGCCAUUCCACAAAUUUAACAGUAUCAUGUGCACGCAUGUUCAGACACAAGUAAACAUUCAAUUAUUCAAAUCAUCAAGCCACCACAGUCAAAUGUACAUGCAUGCAUGCCAAGAUGAAAAGACACAGCCCCAAGAACCCCACGGGCAGGACAAUUAACUGGCUUGAACAGAAUAUAUUUAAUCUUUCCUCUUUUUCAAUUGGGCUCAAACAUCAUUCUUUGUUUUUUUGAUAGAGUCGAACAUCAUCAUGCAUUAUUAAUUGGCUUCCAGACAUUGGGAAUUUAUGCAUCAUAAUCAGUAUAAUUCUAGUCUUCUCUCUCUCUCUCUGAUUCUUCUCUUUUAGGAUCAUAAAAAGAACUAGAAAACACCCAAAGUUUACUCUUUUUCUUCACAAUCUUUUUGGAAGAAGAUCAGUGUUUUGUCAAAACUCCCAAGAGUUAAAUUCCUUAGGCUGCCCAUGGCUGUCUUUUGCAAAAAUUCUUACCUCAAAUACAUUAAUUUGAUUCCCAAACCAAAAUAGGAUAAGAAAAAAUCUGCAAUUUUAAGGAUAUAUAAACGGCAAAAAAUUGAAAAG
rnacentral:misc_RNA from 1 species